AGAGUUUGAUCAUGAUCUCAGAGUGAACGUUGGCGGCGUGCCUGACACAUGCAAGUCGAACGAUUCCCGAAUAACUAUGAUAUAUCGGGAAGAGUAGCGAACGGGUGAGUAACACGUGAGUAAUCACCCCUCGAGUGAGGAAUAAUUCCGCGAAAGCGGGACUAAUACCGCAUAAUACUCUGGGGCAUAAGCCUUUAGAGUCAAAGCUUUCCGAGCAAUCGGAUGGCGCUUGAGGACGAGCUCGCGGCCUAUUAGCUAGUUGGUGGGGUAAUGGCCUACCAAGGUUAUGAUGGGUAGCCGGCUUGAGAGGGUGUGCGGCCACACUGGGACUGAGAUACGGCCCAGACUCCUACGGGAGGCAGC
rnacentral:rRNA from 1 species